UUCGAACAUACAAUGUGUACAUUGAAAAUACCAUGCCUAUUCUCAAACUUGAACAGUUGUGAAUGGGGGAGAAACUAAUCUUCAUUAUCUUUUACUAUACGUGCAUUUGUGUUUGCUAUGAAAAUUUGAAGAGAAAUAUUUGUUAUUGGUUCAGGAUUAGUGAUGGUAGUACCGAAAAAUCCAUCCCAUUCUAAUCUACCGUAUAAGCCUGCCCAAUGAUUAUGACGUCUUCCAGUAUGAGGUAAACACCACGGGAUCAAAGUAUUAUACUGUCUAGCCAUUGGAUCACACAUCUUGCCCGCGCAACAACUACAUACGCCACGAUGUGCUCCAGUAGAACUCUUACCUGCUUU